rnacentral:lncRNA from 1 species
CUGGGCAACAAAUUCCAGUUUUCUGCUUACCUCUAGGCCAGAAUUUUAGAACUGAAAGUCAAACUGAUGAAAAUUGCAUGCCUGAACCACCUGUGAGUUGCCAAAGUACAAAUGCCCUGGCUUUCACAGCAGGUGGACACCUGCAGCCCCUGUAAGUAGUCAUGGGACUUGAGAGGGCAGCAUCUGCAAAUCUGUCCAACUUGGUACAGGAUCAAACAAGGAUUCUAACCUAAAACUCUGGACUCCUGUUCAUUUCCAAGGAUGUGCUCAGAUAUGAGAAACAGACAAGAGGAUCUGGAAAAACGUGCAUUUACCUAAUAUUGCUUGUGUACAAUGCUAGUGAAAUGUGUGCUCAUCAUUUGCAUCAUUUUUCAGAAGCCUAAACUAUUUCUUUUCCAGGAUUCUGAUGAACUUCUGCUGUGAACUAUUUCCUGUGGAUAACAUGCAGAAGAAGCAGAGUCCCCCAGCAUGCCUGACUGAUGUGUACUGCCCACAGCUGCCACGCCGUGUAACCAGGAACCAACUCCAGACUGUGGUAUGCAGUGGGAUAGCUUGAACGCAGCAGUUCUAGGAGGGUUAAAAAUUAAACCAGCAAUCAAGAUCUAAAGCGGCGCUGGGUUUAAAAGACUGGCAAGGUUCAGCUGUGAGUCAAUUCAUUAGUUGCAGUUAAUAUUGCUAGAAGAGCUUGACAAAAGGAAACACGAAGCAACUGAAAAGAAACAUCCUUAAGGUGAAUGUCAAAGUUUUUGCAUCCAGCAAAGAAACGAAAAGCUGAAUACAGAAGAGAAAGCACUGGUUCCCAUUGAGUGGUUACAGAGGAAACAAUCGUACUACUACAGAGACCUGACUAGAGAAUGAAUCUCAUGACUGGCUUAUCUCCUCCAGGACUGGUUUCCUGCCUUGUAAUAUUUCAAAUCCUUGACUGCUUGCUGCUGCAGAUGGAGUAUUGGUUACCCUCCAUCAUCGGUCUGGCUGCGAAGACUUCCUGUGCUUGACAAGUUGAUUACUUCGUCAAGGUGAAUGUUCAGUCGAGUCUGUCUGGAGGACCUCUGUGUGUCUGAUGCCAGCUGGUUUCUCACCAGACGCACUGUUUCACCAGGCACAGAAUAAUAUGAGGAGAAAAAAUGGGAUUUUGAGGGGCUUUUUUCCCCACUCCCUUUUUGAGGUUGGUGUUGCUCCAGUUUAUCCCAGUAGGAUGUAGGUGGAUAACUCUCUAAAUGCAGCCAUCUUCUAUAUGGAGAGCAAACCUCUCUGAUGAAAUGCCGCUGUCCUUUAUAUGUGGUUUUCCCUGCCUUUAGGAUCCCCAAAAGAGGUUAGAUAGCUUGGAAGCUGUGGCAUUAACAGUGCUUUCAUAUUGUCCAUUGUGUAUCAUCAAGGAAGCGCAGUAAAACCCAAAUAAAUUAAAUGAAUUUCAUUGCAGUUCCUGAGGGAGAGCAGGAUGCUUUACUUGUGAGUUUCAAGUCAGGUCAGGAGGGUUGGAUCUCCACAGAGAAACUGCUGACACAGGCCCAGAAAUGUCAUUAGUAAGGUAAAGAAAAACAUCCAAACUUCUCUUAAUAGUCCUUUGUGAAUACUUUAUAGGAAGUGGCAUCCAGACAACAAUAGGUAUUAAGAAAUUGGGAAAUAACAGUAAACAGCACAAAGUAAACAGCACAGAGAAAACUGUGUGUGCUUUCUGAGAAGGUAAGGAAACUGCAUCACAAUGCUGAGUGCUUCAGGAGAGAAAAUUCUCAUAACUUCCAUAGCCAAACAUUGCUUGGGACCAGGGCGUGAAUGACUCCUCUGUGCUACUGCUGAGAGGGUGUUGCAACUUCUUGGCAGGUUACAGAAAAUAGAAUGUUGGCCAGCUUCAUUAUCUGGUGGUACAGGAACAUUUGUUUCUCUAGCCACAUGUGGCUGUGUCUGACCAUCUUGGGUAUCCAAGCAGGGAGUUCAAAGGAAAACCCUGUAGGCUUGGUUUUCAAAGGGACUUAUUUCCAGUAAGUGUGAACCUUGUUUCUAAAAGGAGAGAAAUCCUUGUUUACUCUUCUAGGAACUCAUAUUUCUGACAUAUUGUAGCAGAAAUAAUAAGCAAAAGCAUACUACAGUGGUGAGGUGAAUCCAGGGAGCAUGGCAACUGCUGCCAGACCAGCAUCUGCAGCCAAACCAGCCCCUGGUGCAUCAUGAGCACCGUCCCUGGCAGAUGUGGUCCUGGGGUUACUGUCCUCAACAGAUCCCAUAUUAACACCUCAGUGAGGAGAAGAAUCAUAGAAUCACAGAAUAUCCUGAAUUGAAAGAGGCCUACAAGGACCAUCAGCUUAACUCCUGGCUUCGCAUAGGAACACACAAAAUUGAAAUCCUAUGUCUGCAACUGUUGUCCAAACACUCCUCAAAUCCAGCAGCUGAGGCCAUGCCCACCGCCCUGAAGAGCCUCUUCCAUGCCCACCACCCUCCGGUAAAGAACCUUUUCCUAAAACCGAGGCUGACCCUCCUUCUGGUGCAGCUCCAUGCUGUUAAAGAACGAUGGAGUUUUUCCUGUGUCCCACCAUACCUGACAAGGCAAGGAUGUGUUGCAGUCCCUAUAAAUUGAGCUAUUUCAGACCGACUUUGUGCAAGAGUGGAAGAAGAGCAAUAUGUAGCCACUUUUAUCCCCUUGGAAAGGUAGAGGCAGGAGAGCAGGCUGCCAGACCUCCAGAGAAGCAAGGGUCUCCAUCAGGGCAUUUCCUAGCAGGAGGCAAGAAGAUCAUGCUUUCUCUCCUGUCAUUUAUUCCCUGAUGACUAUUUUCUUUGCUUCCUCCAGGCCCAGGGCCAGGAGGGCCAGCACUGGGAACACGUCCUGGUGCAUAGCCAGGGACGCAGCAGUGUCCUGCUGAGAGCAGUGGCCCGGGGCCGGGCACACAGCAUCCAGCCCUCCCCUGGAGACUGGUGUUUGCUGAGGGAUGCAAGGUAACCUCAGCAUUGAAAAUAGCUGGGACGUUGGCCAGCGAAGAUUAAUGGCAUCAUUAACAUCUCCAGUUUAUUUAUAGGUUUUAAAAAGUCUCCAACCUGUAAACAAAGCAGAGUUAUGCUGCGUAAUGCAGAGAAUCACAGGUUUACCUCCUUCCCACUCCUCUUAUUUCAUCCUUGUUGUUGAGACUGUAAAACCCCUGGGGCAGGACUGGCUCACUGCAAACUUACAUUAUAAACCUUCUCAAUGAGGGGGAUACGCACUGUUGUUUUUUUUUCCCAUGAAUGCCAUGUUUGUCUGGUCUCCUUUCUCCACUCAGCUCUUUCUGUGCUUUGUCCCGUGGCCCCUGUUACGGAAAAUUCUCUUUUUGAAGAAUUCCUGAGGCCCAGGUUGGGAAGUCAUCACAGGAAUUAGUGAUUUUCUGCCUUAGGCCUUAAGCUGCAAGCUUUGUGUGAGGAGGAUUGAGCAUCUUGUAGCUGUGGAGAGCACCUAGGCCGUGCAUGGCCCCAGUGAAGCGUGCAGAUGUUAUUAAUGACCCUGGGGUCUUCCUACAGGCACUCAGGGCCACUCAGUUCCCAGGUUCUCGAGAAACUUGAAGGGCUGUCAAGAAAAGAAAAAGCAUGUUGGCCCCAGAACAGGAGUUCUCAGCACGUGAGCUGCAGCCACACCACCUGGCCCAUCUCCAGGAGCUCAGGAGAAGGUAAGGUAGAAAGAGGGCCUGUUGGCAGCAGGCAGCAGGGAUCUGCUGCAGAGGUGUAUGGGUGGAGGGGGAAAGAAAAAUGUGAGAACAGGCCCCUCUAGGCACACAGUGAUCACAUUAUGAAGAUGUGUUUUGGAGGGCAACCACCGUUCGUUUUGCUGUUUGUGAUGUGUUAAUCUGAGUUGUACUCCCAUGGCUCUCUCUCCUGGGCCUUUUGUCUUCUAGGGGGUAAAAUAAAGAAUUGGCAG